UACAGAGGAGCCAAGCGUUGUCCGGAUUGACUGGGCGUAAAGCGCACGCAGGCGGAUGCGCGCGUGGGGUGUGAAAUCUGGCCGCUUAACGGCCAGGCGCCAUCCCCAUACGGCGCGUCUGGAGUGAUGCAGAGGUCGAUGGAAUUGCCGGUGUAGUGGUGAAAUGCGUAGAGAUCGGCAGGAACACCCAGGGGGAAACCAGUCGACUGGGCAUCUACUGACGCUGAGGUGCGAGAGCGUGGGGAGCGAACCGGG
rnacentral:rRNA from 1 species